UUUUACUGAUUGAGUCUUUGUAAAUGUUUAUAAAAAGUAUGAUGCAGAUUGUAUGUAAAUUACCAAGAGUCCAUGAGUUUUGUUUUUAUGUCCCCCACUAUAGUAGUGGGGGACAUAUUGUUUUUGCCCUGUCUGUUGGUCUGUUGGUCUGUCUGUCAGUUUGCUCCAACUUUAACAUUUUGCAAUAACUUUUGCUAUAUUGAAGACAGCAACUUCAUAUUUGGCAUGCAUGUGUAUCUCAUGAAGCUGCACAUUUUGAGUGGUGAAAGGUCAAGGUCAUCCUUCAAGGUCAGAGGUCAAAUAUAUGUGGCCAAAAUCGCUCAUUUUAUGAAUACUUUUGCAAUAUUGAAGAUAGCAACUUGAUAUUUGGCAUGCAUGUGUAUCUCAUGGAGCUGCACAUUUUGAGUGGUGAAAGGUCAAGGUCAAGGUCAUCCUUCAAGGUCAGAGGUCAAAUAUAUGUGGCCCAAAUCGCUUAUUUUAUAAAUACUUUUGCAAUAUUGAAGAUAGCAACUUGAUAUUUGGCAUGCAUGUGCAUCUCAUGGAGCUGCACAUUUUGAGUGGUGAAAGGUCAAGGUCAUCCUUGAAGGUCAGAGGUCAAAUAUAUGUGGCCCAAAUCGCUUAUUUUAUGAAUACUUUUGCAAUAUUGAAGAUAGCAACUUGAUAUUUGGCAUGCAUGUGUAUCUCAUGGAACUGCACAUUUUGAGUGGUGAAAGGUCAAGGUCAUCCUUCAAGGUCAAAUAUAUGGGUCAAAAUUGCUCAUGUAAUGUCACUUCUGCAAUAUUGAAGCUAGCAAUUUUAUAUUUGAAAUGCAUGUGUAUCUCAUGGAGCUGCACAUUUUGAGUGGUGAAGGGUCAAGGUCAAGGUCAUCCUUCAAGGUCAAACGUCAUAUAGGGGGACAUUGUGUUUCACAAACACAUCUUGUUUCC